CAACCAUCCAGAGCGGCUGAGAGAUCUGGCUCGACGACGCCGCAGCAACCCGGGAGAGCCGGGUGCUAACGCCAGGAGCGAUGGAGG
rnacentral:ncRNA from 2 species